rnacentral:lncRNA from 1 species
AAACAAGAACACUAAUAAAACUAUCAAUCUUCUCAAUUCUUAAUAACAAUAUACAAAAUUUAGCAAAACAAGAACACUAAUAACACUAUCAAUCUUCUCAUUUCUUGAUAACAAUAUACAAAAUUUAACAAAACAAGAACACUAAUAACACUGUCAAUCUUCUCAUUUCUUGAUAACAAUAUACAAAAUUUAGCAAAACAAGAACACUAUCAAUCUUCUCAUUUUUUGAUAACAAUAAAGAAAAUUUAGCAAAACAAGAACACUAAUAACACUAUCCAUCCUUUCAUUUCUUGAUAACAAUAUACAAAAUUCAGCAAAACAAGAACCCUAAUAACACUAUCAAUCUUCUCAUUUCUUGAUAACAAUAUACAAAAUUCAGCAAAACAAGAACACUAAUAACAGUAUCAAUCCUCUCAUUUCUUGAUUACAAUAUACAAAAUUUAGCAAAACAAGAACAUUAAUAACAUUAUCAAUCUUCUCAUUUCUUGAUAACAAUAUACAAAAUUUAGCGAAACAAGAACACUACUAACACUAAAUCAAUCUUCUCAUUUCUUUUAAUAAACAAUAUACAAAAUUUAGCAAAACAAGAACACUAAUAACAUCUAAUCAAAUCUUCUCAAUUUCUGAUGUAACAAUAUACAAAAUUUAGCAAACCAAGAACAUAAUAACACUAUCAAUCUCUCAUCAUUUCUUGAUAAACAAUAUACAAAUUUUAUGCAAAACAAGAAACACUAAUAAACACUAUCAAUCUUUCCAUUUCUUGAUAACAAUAUACAAAAUUUAGCGAAACAAGAACAAUAAUAACACUACACAAUCUUUAUUCUGAAUAAACAAUAUACAAAAUUUAGCAAAACAAGAACCAUCUAAUAAGCAUUCUAUCAAAUCUUCUCAUUUCUUGAUAACAAUAUACAAAAUUUAGCAAACUAGAUACACUAAUACACUAUCAAUCUUUCUCAUUUCUUUGAUAACAAUAUAUCUACUAAAUAUUAGCAAAAACAAGAACACUAAUAACAAAUGUAUCAAUCCUCUCAUUUCUUAAUAACAAUCUAAAUAAAAUUUAGCAAACAAGACAAUAACACUUCAAUCCUCUCAUUCUGAUAACAAACAUAUAACAAACAAACACUAAUCACUAUCAAUCUUCUGCAUUUCUUGAUGAACAUAUACAAAAUUUUAGCAAAACAAGACACUAAUAACACAUAUCAAUCUUCUCAUUUUUGAUAACAAUAUACAAAUUAAAAAAAACCAAGAACACUAAUAACACUAUCAAUCUUCUCAUUUCUUAUAACAAUGAUACUAAAAUUUAGCAAAACAAGAACACUAAUAACACAUAUCAAUCUUCUGACUUUCUUGAUAACAAUAUAAAAAAAUUUAGCAGAAACAGAACACUAAUAAACUAUCAAUCUUCUCAUUUUCCUUAAUAACAAUAUACAAAUUUAAAAACAAGAACACUAAAUAACACUAUCAAUCUUCAUUUCUUGAUAAACAAUAUCAAAAUUAGCAAAACAACAUUAAUAACACUAGUCAUCUCUCAUUUCUUGAUACAAUAUACAAAUUUAGAAAAACAAGAACACUAUACACUAUCAUCUUCUCAAAUUUUCUUGAUAACAAUAUACAGAAAUUUAGCCAAUAACAAGAACACUAAUAACACUAUCAUCUCUCAUUUCUUGAUACAAUAUAUCAAAAUUCGCAAUACAAAGAAACUAUAACACUAUCAACUUCUCAUUCUUGAUAACAAUAUACAAAUUAGGCAAACACAAAACACUAAUAACACCUAUCAAUCUCUCAUUUCUUGAUAACAUAUACAAAAUUUAGCAAAACAAGAACAUAUAACAUUAUCCAUCUUCUCAUUUCUUGAUAACAAUAUACAAAUUUACGAAACAAGAACACUAAUAACACUAUCAAUCUUCCUCAUUUUUGAAUCAACAAUAUACAAAAUUUAGCAAAACAAGAAACUAAUAACACUAUCAAUCUUUCUCAUUUCUUGAUAAAAUAUACAAUUUAGCAAAAACAGAAGCACUAAUAACACUAUCAAUUGUCCUCAUUUUCUUUGAUAACAAAUACAAAAUUUAGCAAAAACAAGAACACUAUAACACUAUCAAUCUUCCAUUUCUUGAUAACAAAUACAAAUUUAGCAAAACAAGAACAAUAAUAACACUUCAAUCUUCUUUCCUUGAUAACAAUAUACAAAAUCUAGCAAAAAAGAACACUAAUAACACUAUCAAUCUUCUGUUCUUUUGAUAACAAUAUACAAAUUUGCAAAACAGAGAACACUAAUAACACUUCAUCUUCUCAUUUUUCAUAACAAUAUACAAAUUUACAAACAAGAACAUAAUAACAUAUCUAUCUUCUCAAUUUUCUUUGAUAACAAUAUACAAAUUUAGCAAAACAAGAACAUAAUAACACUAUCAAUCUUCUCAUUUCUGAUAACAAUAUACAAAAUUUAGCAAAACAAGAACAAAUAACAUAUCAAUCUUCUAUUUCUUGAUAACAAUAUACAAAUUUAGCAAAACAAGAACACUAAUAACACAAAUCUUCUCAUUCUUGAUAAAUAUACAAAAUUUAGCAAAACAAGAAACACUAAUAACAUUAUCAAUUCUCUCAUUUCUUAAUAACAAUACAUAAUUUAGCAAACAAGAACAUAAUAACACUGCUUCAUCUCUCAUUCUUGAUAACAAUAUACAAAAUAUAGCAAAACCAGAAACACUAAUACACUCAUCAAUCUUCUCAUUUCUUGAUAACAAUAUACAAAAUUUGCAACAGAACAUAAUACACUAUCAAUCUUCUCAUUUCUUGAUUAACAUAUACAAAAUUUAAAAAAAAACAAGAACACUAAUAACACUAUAUCUCUCAUUUCUUGAUAACAAUAAUACAAAAUUUAGCAAAACAAGACACUAAUAACAUUCAAUCUUCUCAUUUCUUGAUAAACAAUAUAAAAAAUUUAGCAAAACAAGAACAUAAUAACUAUCAAUCUUCUCAUUUCUUAAACAAUAUACAAAAUUUAGAAAAACAGAACACUAAUAACAUAUCAUCUUCUCAUUUCUUGAUAACAAUAUACAAAUUUAGCAACAAGAACACUAAUAACACUUCAAUCUUCUCAUUUUUGAUAACAAUAUACAAAAUUUAGCAAAACAAGAACACUAUCAAUCUUCUCAUUUUUGAUAACAAUAUACAAAAUUUAGCAAAACAAGAACACUAAUAACACUAUCAUCUCUCAUUUCUGAUAACAAUAUACAAAAUUCAGAACAAACAAGAAGCUUCAUUCUUGAUAACAACUAUCAUUCCAACAAGACAUAUCAUUCCAUGUCUGAUAAAUGAAAAUUUCUAAGCAAAUCAAGACACAAUAAACAUCCACUACAUUUGAACAAUUUUACGAACAAGAAAUGAUACACUCUCCAAUUCUCAUUCUGAUAACAAUAUACAAAUUUAGAAAACAAGAACUUAUCAAUCCUCUCAUUUCUUGAUAACAAUAUACAUAAUUUAGCAAAACAAGAACACUAAUAACACUAUCAAUCUUCUCAUUUCUUGAUAACAAUAUACAAAAUUUAGAAAAACAAGAACACUAAUAACACUAUCAAUCUUCACAUUUCUUGAUAACAAUAUACAUAAUUUAGCAAAACAAGAACAAUAAUAACACUCUCAGUCCUCUUUUUUCUUGAUAAUAAUAUACAAAAUUUAACAAAAGAAGAACACUAAUAACACUAUCAAUCUUCUGAUUUCUUGAUAACACUAUACAAAAUUUAGCAAAACAAGAACACUAAUAACACUGUCAAUCUUCUCAUUUCUUGAUAACAAUAUACAAAAUUUAGCAAAACAAGAACACUAUUAAUCUUCUCAUUUUUUGAUAACAAUUUACAAAAUUUAGCAAAACAAGAACACUAAUAACACUAUCCAUCCUCUCAUUUCUUGAUAACAAUAUACAAAAUUCAGCAAAACAAGAACCCUAAUAACACUAUCAAUCUUCUCAUUUCUUGAUAACAAAAUUUAGCACAAACAAGAACACUAAUAAACACUAUCAAUCUUUCUUGAUAACAAUAUACAAAAUUCAGCAAAACAAGAACACUAAUAACACUAUCAAUCUUCUCAUUUCUUGAUAACAAUAUACAAAAUUCAGCAAAACAAGAACACUAAUAACACUAUCAAUCCUGUCAUUUCUUGAUAACAAUAUACAAAAUUUAGCAAACCAAGAACAUUAAUAACAUUAUCAAUCUUCUCAUUUCUUGAUAACAAUAUACAAAAUUUAGCAAAAUAAGAACACUAAUAACACUAUCAAUCUUCUUAUUUCUUGAUAACAAUAUACAAAAUUUAGCAAAGCAAGAACACUAAUAACACUAUCAAUCUUCUCAUUUCUUGAUAACAAAAUAGAAAAUUUAGCAAAACAAGAACACUAAUAACAAUAUCAAUCCUCUCAUUUCUUGAUAACAAUAUACAUAAUUUAGCUAAACAAGAACACUAUCAAUCUUCUCAUUUCUUGAUAACAAUAUACAAAAUUUAGCAAAACAAGAACACUAAUAACACUAUCAAUCCUCUCAUUUCUUAAUAACAAUAUACAAAAUUCAGCAAAACAAGAACCCUAAUAACACUAUCAAUCUUCUCAUUUCUUGAUAACAAUAUACAAAAUUCAGCAAAACAAGAACACUAAUAACACUAUCAAUCCUCUCAUUUCUUGAUAACAAUAUAAAAAGUUUAGCAAACAAGAACACAAUAACACUAUCAAUCUUCUCAUUUCUUAAUACAAAUAUAGAAAAUUUAGCAAAACAAGAACACUAAUAACACUAAUCAAUCUCUCUCUUUCUUAGAUAACAAUAUACACAAAUUUUAGCAAAACAAGAACACUAAUAACAUUAUCAAUCUUCUCAUUUCUGAUAACAAUUAGACAAAUUUAGCAAAACAAGAACACUAUAUAACACUAUCAAUCUUUCUCAUUUCUUGAUAACAAUAUACAAAAUUAUAAAAACAGAAACACUAAUAACACUAUCAAUCUUCUCAUUUCUUGAUAACAAUAUAACAAAAUUUAGCAAAACAAGAACACUAAUAACACUAUCAAUCUUCUCAUUUCUUGAUAAAAAUAGCAAAAUUAGCAAAACAAGACACUAUAACAACUAUCAAUCUUCUCAUUUCUUAAUAACAAUAUACAAAUUUAGCAAAAAGAACACUAAUAACACUAUCAAUCUUUCCAUUUCUUGAUAACAAUAUACAAAAUUGCAAAACAAGAACACUAAUAACACUCAAUUCUUCUCAUUUCUUGAUAACAAUAUACAAAAUUUAGCAAAACAAGAACACUAUCAAUCUUCUCAUUUCUUGAUAACAAUAUACAAAAUUUAGCAAACAAGAAACACUAAUAACACUAUCAUCUCUCAUUUCUUGAUAACAAUAUACAAAAUUCAGCAAAACAAGAACCUAAUAACAUAUCAAUCUUCUCAUUUCUUGAUAACAAUAUACAAAAUUCAGCAAAACAAGAACAUAAUAACUAUCAAUCCUCUCAUUCUUGACAACAAUAUACAAAAUUAAGGCAAAACAAGAACAUUAAUAACAUUAUCAAUCUUCUCAUUUCUUGAUAACAAUAUACAAAAUUUAGCGAAACAAGAACACUAAUAACACUAUCAAUCUUCUCUUUUUUCUUAAUAACAAUAUACAAAAUUUAGCAAAACAAGAACACUAAUAACACUAUCAAUCUUCUCAUUUCUUGAUAACAAUAUACAAAAUUUAGCAAAAACAAGAACACUAAUAAACACAUCAAUCUUCUCAUUUCUUGAUAACAAUAUACAAAAUUUAGCAAAGCAAAGAACACUAAUAACACUAUCAAUCUUCUCAUUCUUGAAUAACAAAAUAGAAAAUUUAGGCAAAACAAGAACACUAAUAACAUCAAUCCUUCAUUUCUUGAUAACAAUAUACAAAUUUAGCAAAACAAACACUAAUAACAUAUCAACCUCAUUUCUUGAUAACAAUAUACAAAAUUUGCAAAACAAGAACACUAUAUUAACACUAUCAAUUUCUCAUUUCUUAAUAACAAUAUACAAAAUUUAGCAAAAAAAACAAAACAUAAUAACACUAUCAAUCUCUCAUUUCUUGAUAACAUAUACAAAAUUUGGCAAAACAAGAACACUAAUAACACUAUCAAUGCUUCUUCAUUUCUUGAUAACAAAUAUACAAAUUUAAAAACAAGAACACUAUAACAACUAUCAAUCUUCUCAUUUCUUGAUAACAAUAUACAAAAUUUAGCAAAACAAGAAACUAAUAACACUAUCAAUCUUCUCAUUUCUUGAUAACAAUAUCAAAAUUUAGCAAAACAAGAACACUAUAACACUAUCAAUCUUCUCAUUUCUUAAUAACAAUAUACAAAAUUUAGCAAAACAAGAACACUAAUAACACUAUCAAUCUCUCAUUUCUUGAUAACAAUAUACAAAAUUUAGCAAAACAAGAACACUAAUAACACUUCAAUCUUCUCAUUUCUUGAUAACAAUAUACAAAAUUUAGCAAACAAGAACACUAAAACACUAUCAAUCUUCUCAUUUCUUGAUAACAAUAUAAAUUUAGCAAAACAAGAACACUAAUAACAACAUCUCAUCCUCUAUUUCUGAUAACAAUAUACAAAAUUCAGCAAACAAGAACCCUAAUAACACUAUCAAUCUUCUCAUUUCUUGAUAACAAUAUACAAAAUUCAGAAACAAGAACACUAAUAACACUAUCAAUCUUCUCAUUUCUUGAUAACAAUAUAAAAUUUAGCAAAAACAAGAACAUUAAUAACAUUAUCAUCUUCUCAUUUCUUGAUACAAUAUACAAAAUUUAGCAAAAAAGAACACUAAUAACACUAUCAAUCUUCUCAUUUCUUGAUAACAAUAUACAAAAUUUAGCAAACAAGAAACUAAAACACUAAUAAUCUCUCAUUUCUUGAUAACAAUAUACAAAAAUUAUAGAAAACAAGAACACUAUCAAUCUUCCUCAUUUUUUGAUAACAAUAUCAAAAUUUAGCAAAACAGAACACUAAAACACUAUCUCUUCUCAUUUCUUGAUAACAAUAUACAAUUCGCAAAACAAGAACACUAAUAACACUAUCAAUCUUCUCAUUUCUUGAUAACAAUAUACAAAAUUUAGCAAAACAAGAACACUAAUAACACUAUCAAUCCUCUCAUUUCUUGACAACAAUAUACAAAAUUUAGCAAAACAAGAACAUUAAUAAACUAUCAAUCUUCUCAUUCUUAUAACAAUAUACAAAAUUUAAGCGAAACAAGAACACUAAUAACACUAUCAAUCUUCUCAUUUCUAUAAUAACGAAUAUACAAAAUUUAGCAAAAAAGAAAACACUAAUAACACUAUCAAUCUUCUCAUUUCUUGAUAACAAUAUACAAAAUUACAAAACAGAACAACUAAUAACACAUCAAUUUUCUCAUUUCUUGAUAACAUAUACAAAAUUUAGCCAAAAGCAAGAAACACUAAUAAACUAUCAAUCUUCUCAUUUCUUAAUAACAAUAAUAGAAAAUUUAGCAAAACAAGAAACACUAAAACACUAUCAAUCAUCUCAUUUCUUAAUAAACAAUACANNNNNNNNNNNNNNNNNNNNNGGCAAAAAAAGAAGGGAGAGGAGGGAGGAGUAGAGGGAAUAUAUAUCUGCAACAUACAGCCAGGAGAGUAUUAUAUUUAAUUUUAAUAUAGAGAGAAUUCACACACAUUACAGUAAGUAACUCAAUAUAUAUAAAUUAACAACAUCUCUAUAUGUAUUAUAAUAUACACAUAUAAUCUAUAUAUUAUCUCAAUCUAGUAUCACUAAUUAGAUAUCACUUAGAUCACAUACACCUUAUAACUCACAAAAAGAAUAUUUUAUAUAUAUAGCGCGAGAGAUAUAUAUACCACUCACUAGAAAAUACACAAAUCACAAAUUAUGACACCACUAUAUUCUUUCACAAAUGAGUUGACAUUAUAUAUAUAAAUACUAAAUAUUGUGUAGCAACAAUGAUAUAAUACUCACGCUUAUAAAUAACAUCUAUAGUAAGAAAGAAGAAAUAUUUAUGAAUAAACAAUCAUUGCUAUAUAAUAAUGAGAGAGUGCACAACACAUAAUAUAGGAACAUCAAUAUAGUAACAACAUAAUUCGGAUUAUGUCUCUCUCUAUAUGCUCAUAAUUUAUGCGUAUUAGAUAUAAAAAUAAUACAAAUAGCUUCUCACAUGCAAUAAAUGCAGGAUCACAAAUAUAUAUUAACACUAGUAAUCACAAACUUACUUACUCAUUUUUCUUGAAUAACUAAAUAUAUAACUUUUAAAGCACAUAACCACACGUAUAUUCACCUAAUAAACACUAUCAAUCUCUCAUUUCUUGAUAACAAUAUACAAAAUUUAGCAAAAACAAGAAACAACUAUAAUAACAUUAUCAAUUCGCUCUCAUUUCUUGAAAACAAUAUACAUAAUUUAGCAAAACAAGAACAAUAAAACACUCUCAAUCCUCUCAUUUCUUAAUACAAUAUACAAAAUUUAAGAAAAAGAAGAAACACUAAUAACACUAUCAAUCUCUGAUUUCUUGAUAACAAUAACAAAAUUAGCAAAACAAGAACACUAAUAACACUAUCAAUCUUCUCAUUUUCUUAUAACAAUAUACCAAAAUUUAAGCAAAACAAGAAACACUAAUAACACUAUCAAUCUUCUCAUUUCUUGAUAACAAUAUACAAAAUUUAGCAAAACAAGAACACUAAUAAACACUAUCAAUCUUCUCAAUUCUUGAUAACAAUAUACAAAAUUAAAAAAACAAAAGAACACUAAUAACACUAAUCAAUCUUCUCAUUUCUUGAUAACAAAUAUACAAUUUAAAAAACAAGAACACUAAUAACACUAUCAAUCUCUCAUUUCUUGAUAACAAUACUACAAAUUGCAAAACAAGAACACUAAUAACACUCAAUCUUCUCAUUUCUUAUAACAAUAAAAAAUUUAGCAAACAAGAACACUAAUAACACUAUCAAUCUUCUAUUUCUUGAUAAACAAUAUAAAAAAUUUAGCAAAAUAAAAACACUAAUAACACUAUCAAUCUUCUCAUUUCUUGAUAACAAUAUAAAAAAUUUAGCAAAAACAGAGACACUAAUAACACUAUCAAUCUUCUCAUUUCUUGAUAACAAUAUACAAAAUUUAGCAAAACAAAGAACACUAAUAAAACUAUCAAUCUUCUCAUUUCUUGAAUAACAAAUACAGAAUUUUAGCAAAACAAAGAACACUAAUAACACUAUCAAUCCUCUCAUUUCUUGAUACCAAUAUACAAAUUUAGCAAAACAAGAACACUAAUAAACUAUCAAUCUCUCAAUGUUCUUGAUAAUACAAUAUAUAAAUUUAGCACAAACAAGAACACUAAUAAACACUAUCAAUCUCUCAUUUCUUGAUAACAAUUACAAAUUUAGCAAAACAAGAACGUACUAAUAACACUAUCAAUCCUCAUUUCUUGAUAACAAUAUACAAAUUAGGAAACAAGAACACUAAUAACACUAUCAAUCUUAAUUUCUUGAUAACAAUAUACAAAAUUAGCAAAACAAGAACACUAAUAACACUAUCAUCUUCUCAAUUUCUUGAUAACAAAUAAUACAAAAAUUUAGCAAACAAGAACACUAAUAACACUAUCAAUCUUCUAAUUUCUUGAUAACAAUAUACAAAAUUUAGGAAAAAAGACAUGAUAACAUAUCAAUCUUCUCAUUCUUUUGAUAACAAAAUACAAAUUUAAGCAAAGCAAAGAACACUAAUAAAACUUCAAUUUCUCAUUUCUUGAUAACAAAAUAGAAAAAUUUUAGCAAAACAAGAACACAAAUUACUAUCAUCUUCUCAUUUCUUGAUAACAAUAUAUCAAAAUUAGCAAAACAAGAACAGCUAUAACAUUAAUGCAAUCCUCUCAUUUCUUGAUAACAAUAUACAUAAUUAGCAAAAACCAAGAAACACUAAUCAUCUUCUCAUUUCUUGAUAAUAAUAUACCCAAAAUUUAGCAAAACAGAACCAAUAACACUAUCGAUCCUCUCCCUUUCUUGAUAACAAAUAAAGUACGAAAUUCAGCAAAAAAGAACGCUAAUAACUACUAUCAGAUCUUCUCAUUUCUUGAUAACAAUAUACAAAAUUCAGCAAAACAAGAACACUAAUAACAUUAUCAAUCCUCUCAUUCUUGAUCAACAAAUAUAACAAAAUUUAGCAAAACAAGAACAUUAAUAACAUUAUCAAAUCUUUCCAUUUCUUGAUAACAAUAUAGAAAAUUUAGGCGAAACAAGAACACUAUAACACUAUCAAUCAUCCUUUCAUUUCUAAUAAUAAUAUAAAAUUUAGCAAAACAAGAACAACUAAAUAACACGUCAAAUCUUCACAUUUCUUGAUAAACAAUAUACAAAAUUUAGCAAAACAAGAACACUAAUAACACUAAUCGAUCUUCUCAUUUUCUUGAUAACAAUAUACAAAAUUUAAAGCAAAGCAAGACCACUAAUAACACUAUCCAAGCUUCUCAUUUCUUGAUAACAAAAUAGAAAAUUUAGCAAAACAAGAACACCUGAAUACACUAUCAUCCUUCUCAUCUCUUGAUAACAGUAUAUCAAAACUUUAGCAAAACAAGAACACUAAUAACAUUAUCAAUCCUCUCAUUUUCUUGAUAACAAUAUACAUAAUUUAGCAAAACCAAAACAAUAUACAACACUCUCAAUCCUCUCAUUUCUUAAUAACAAUAUACAAA